rnacentral:lncRNA from 7 species
GGUGCCUACAUCCCAAGGUUUUGCUUGAUCCAAGAAGAUGACUGUCCCUUACAUGCCACUGCCUCAUGCCAAGUUAUCUUAGCAACAGCUGACAUUAACCAGUAGGUCCAACAAGGUUGUAAGCAAAGCUGUGUGAAGACAUCAUUUCAGAUCUGGGUCCUGCAUCAACAUUACAUGCCUGCUUCCAGCUGGUAUCAGCUAUAGAGUUUUGUUCUGUACACCAGCAGUGUGGAUAUGCUCUUGGUUACCUUGGACCAAGAUCAUUCUGAAGAGGAUUUGAAUGUGAUUUGAUGUUCCACAGAAGCAAGCAACACGCAUGAUAUUUUUGCGGGAGGCAGAGCUGUUAAGGAGGGGUCAGAUUCUACUCAAAGAUCCUUUUUUUCCCCUUGAAAUUCUCAACUCCUGGUAACAAAUAUGCAGAACACAGUUUCUCCACUACUUUUACUGAAGAUGGCAUUAAUUAUGCUGGGAACAUCGUAAGCAGAAUGGACAAGAAAGCUUAAAGAGCUUAAAGAAAGAUUUUAUAACUGGUUCAGGCAGAAGUGCUGUGAUCUACAGCAGAUAUGAUAAAUGGAGACACAGAAGAUUAAUCAAGAUCACAAGUUCCACUUUUUUUUUCUGUGGGGGGAAUAGGGGACUGAUGUAUGUAAUUAUAACAUUGCAGCUCAUGUACUCACCUUUUAUCUUUACAGAUCUUGAAAUAAUCUUGCCAAUUGAAAAGCCAUGAAAUCAUCAGAUUCACACAUCUCCAUUAGAAAUAACAAUUUAGGAGCAUGCAGAAAACCCUCAAGAACAAAGGAAGCUUUGCCUAAGAGCUGCUGCAGAAGCAUUUGCACCCAUGGAGAACGUCAUAGUUUCCUAUGUCCUGGCCAUGGAGAUUCAGAACCUGACAGUGUCAGAAAGCACAUAGCAGUAAAAAGCAGCACAGGUUGCUAAGGGAGCCAUUUUGAGAGCUCCUGCACAAUAACAACAAAGAAAAAGGAAAGUCACAGUGUCUUUCAGGAGCAUCCCCCUUCUUCAUGACAGCCAGCCAAACCGGCUACAUGAUUUUUUCUGUUCUUUUUACCAUUACAGCAAGAACACUGCCUUUGCAAGACAGUCAGGAUGAAGCCCUGCAGCCUCAUCACCUCAGUCAGUUUCCAGGCUCAGAGGUAAAAGGCCUUUUUUUUUUUUUAUUUAAAAGGUACAUAUAGUGAAGGCAAAGGCACCCAAAUUCCUGAAGACUUUGCAAAGUAGCAAAUUUGGACCAUCAUUUGAAGCUCAGUCUCAAACAUACAUUAUUUAUCUGUCUAUUGUGACAUAAAUGCUGGAGCAGAAAGGAGCUUUAGUAGAAUUUGUUAGUUAAUUUAAUCCAGAAUGUGAAUGGAUUUUUCAUAACACUGUGGCAUUGUAUCUAAGAAAAGCAAUGACAAAACUGUUCUAUUUAAAUGUGGCAAUAGCUGUAGUCUUUGAGCAUAUGCUUAAUGAAUAAAUCUGUU